CCCUUAGAUGUUCUGGGCCGCACGCCUGCUACACUGAGUGGAUCAGCGGGUCAGGUUGCGCGAAAGCGUUUCCUAAUCUUUAAAUCCGCUCGUGAUGGGGAUUGACGGUUGCAAUUUUCUGUCAUGAACGAGGAAUACCUUGUAAGCGCGGGUCAUCAUCCCGCGCUGAAUACGUCCCUGCCCUUUGUACACACCGCCCGUCGCUCCUACCGAUUGAGUGGUCCGGUGAGGCUUUGGGAUCUGAGCGGAAAGAGCGUUUCGCUGUUUCUGCUCGGAAAACUCAGUCGAACCUUAUCAUUUAGAGGAAGGAGAAGUCGUAACA
rnacentral:rRNA from 1 species